rnacentral:rRNA from 1 species
GACGAACGCUGGCGGCGUGCUUAACACAUGCAAGUCGAACGGAAAGGCCCUGCUUGCAGGGUACUCGAGUGGCGAACGGGUGAGUAACACGUGGGUGAUCUGCCCUGCACUUCGGGAUAAGCCUGGGAAACUGGGUCUAAUACCGGAUAGGAGCCAUUUUUAGUGUGAUGGUUGGAAAGUUUUUUCGGUGUAGGAUGAGCUCGCGGCCCAUCAGCUUGUUGGUGGGGUAAUGGCCUACCAAGGCGGCGACGGGUAGCCGGCCUGAGAGGGUGGACGGCCACAUUGGGACUGAGAUACGGCCCAGACUCCUACGGGAGGCAGCGGUGGGGAAUAUUGCACAAUGGGCGCAAGCCUGAUGCAGCGACGCCGCGUGGGGGAUGACGGCCUUCGGGUUGUAAACUCCUUUCGCUAGGGACGAAGCUUUUUGUGACGGUACCUAGAUAAGAAGCACCGGCUAACUACGUG